rnacentral:tRNA from 1 species
GUUGAUGUGGCAGAUUAAGUGCAUUAAACUUAAAAUUUAAACAUGGAGCUGUUCUUGCUCCUUUCAACA